rnacentral:rRNA from 1 species
AACGAACGCUGGCGGCAUGCCUAACACAUGCAAGUCGAACGAAGGCUUCGGCCUUAGUGGCGCACGGGUGCGUAACGCGUGGGAAUCUGCCCUUAGGUUCGGAAUAACAGUUAGAAAUGACUGCUAAUACCGGAUGAUGACGUAAGUCCAAAGAUUUAUCGCCUAGGGAUGAGCCCGCGUAGGAUUAGCUAGUUGGUGUGGUAAAGGCGCACCAAGGCGACGAUCCUUAGCUGGUCUGAGAGGAUGAUCAGCCACACUGGGACUGAGACACGGCCCAGACUCCUACGGGAGGCAGCAGUGGGGAAUAUUGGACAAUGGGCGCAAGCCUGAUCCAGCAAUGCCGCGUGAGUGAUGAAGGCCUUAGGGUUGUAAAGCUCUUUUACCCGGGAUGAUAAUGACAGUACCGGGAGAAUAAGCCCCGGCUAACUCCGUGCCAGCCGCCGCGGUAA